UUAAAAUUUGAAAAAAAAAGGUCUUAAUCAGGAAAGUUGAUGGAAGUCUGGAACUACUGAAAACACCUAUAAUCCUACUUAUGCCUAUAAUGUCUAACAUGAAAAAAAAAGUCUAUCUAAUGUCAUAAAAUCAUCUUUGGCGUUGAUUGGAACCAUAUGAACUGAAAAACGUGAGAACCGUUCG